CCCUUAGAUGUCCUGGGCCGCACGCGCGCUACACUGAUGCAUUCAACGAGUUUUACCUUGGCCGAGAGGCCUGGGCAAUCUUUUAAACCUGCAUCGUGGUAGGGAUAGAUUAUUGCAAUUUUUAAUCUUGAACGAGGAAUUCCUAGUAAACGCGAAUCAUCAAUUUGCAUUGAUUACGUCCCUGCCCUUUGUACACACCGCCCGUCGCACCUACCGAUUGAAUGGUCCGGUGAAGCCUCGGGAUUGUGGCCAGUUCACUUUAUUGGGAGUUGGCUGUGAGAACUUGUCUAAACCUUAUCAUUUAGAGGAAGGUGAAGUCGUAACA
rnacentral:rRNA from 1 species